rnacentral:sRNA from 1 species
GCCAGGCACAGUGGCGCACGCCUGUAAUCCCAGUGGCUUGGGAGGCUGAGAUAGGAGGAUCGCCAGUUCAAAGCCAGCCUCAACAAUGGUGAGGCACUAAGCAACUCAGUGAGACCCUGUCUCUA